GGGGGUGACUUGGAUUCGACGUUGAGUAAUCGCCGUGUCGGAAGCGAGCCGAGGUUUCCGGAACCUCGCAAAACAACCGGGUAAACAAAACAAGUGCCAAACCACAAAUGGCGCUGGCUGCCUGAUAGAUAGGUAGCCCGUCCUCUCCGGAGGGUUCCCGCCCCACCGGACAAGGGCGUCGCUAAUGCGGGAUGCCCCCGGCGGGACUCCGGGACCGACGGGCCAAGCCAAUCCCGGAC
rnacentral:tmRNA from 1 species